UACGUAGGUGGCAAGCGUUGUCCGGAUUUAUUGGGUUUAAAGGGUGCGUAGGCGGCGAUCUAAGUCAGUGCUGAAAUAUCCCGGCUUAACCGGGAGGGUGGCAUUGAUACUGGGUUGCUUGAGUAAAGUUGAGGUAGGCGGAAUUGACGGUGUAGCGGUGAAAUGCUUAGAUAUCGUCAAGAACACCAAUAGUGAAGACAGCUUACUACACAAUGAUUGACACUGAGGCACGAAAGCGUGGGGAUCAAACAGG
rnacentral:rRNA from 1 species